rnacentral:rRNA from 1 species
AAUGGAGAGUUUGAUCCUGGCUCAGGACGAACGCUGGCGGCGUGCUUCAUACAUGCAAGUCGAACGCGAAUCGGUAGCUUGCUACCGAGGAAAGUGGCGGACGGGUGAGUAAUGUGUAGAGAAUCUGCCCUAGAGCGGGGGACAACAGCUGGAAACGGUUGCUAAUACCCCAUAUGAGCGUAUCUGAAAUGGUAUUCUUGAAAACUCCGGUGCUCUAGGAUGAGUCUGCAUCUGAUUAGCUAGUUGGGGGUGUAAUGGACCACCAAGGCGACGAUCAGUAGCUGGUUUGAGAGGAUGAUCAGCCACAAUGGGACUGAGACACGGCCCAUACUCCUACGGGAGGCAGCAGUAGGGAAUUUUGCGCAAUGGGCGAAAGCCUGACGCAGCAACGCCGCGUGAUUGAUAAAGCCCUUCGGGGUGUAAAGAUCUGUCAGUGGGGACGAAACUUGACGGUACCCACAGAGGAAGCACCGGCUAACUCCGUGCCAGCAGCCGCGGUAAUACGGAGGGUGCAAGCGUUGUCCGGAAUCAUUGGGCGUAAAGAGUUCGUAGGUGGUUUGUUAAGUUUGGUGUUAAAUGCAGAGGCUCAACUUCUGUUCGGCAUCGGAUACUGGCAGACUAGAAUGCGGUAGAGGUAAAGGGAAUUCCUGGUGUAGCGGUGAAAUGCGUAGAUAUCAGGAGGAACAUCGGUGGCGUAAGCGCUUUACUGGGCCGUAAUUGACACUGAGGAACGAAAGCCAGGGUAGCAAAUGGGAUUAGAUACCCCAGUAGUCCUGGCCGUAAACGAUGGAUACUAGGUGUUGCGGGUAUCGACCCCUGCAGUGCCGUAGCUAACGCGUUAAGUAUCCCGCCUGGGGAGUACGCACGCAAGUGUGAAACUCAAAGGAAUUGACGGGGACCCGCACAAGCGGUGGAACAUGUUGUUUAAUUCGAAGCAACGCGAAGAACCUUACCAGGGCUUGACAUCUAACAAACCUUUGUGAAAGCAGAGGGUGCUCUUCGGAGAAUGUUAAGACAGGUGGUGCACGGUUGUCGUCAGCUCGUGUCGUGAGAUGUUGGGUUAAGUCCCGCAACGAGCGCAACCCUCGUCGUUAGUUGGUACUAUCGGUAUACUUAUAGUAACCUCUCUAGCGAGACUGCCGGUGAUAAACCGGAGGAAGGUGAGGACGACGUCAAAUCAUCAUGCCCCUUAUGCUCUGGGCUACACACGUGUUACAAUGGCCGGUACAAUGAGCCGCCAACUCGCGAGAGUGAGCAAAUCUCUAAAAGCCGGUCUCAGUUCGGAUUGCAGUCUGCAACUCGACUGCAUGAAGUCGGAAUCGCUAGUAAACGCAGAUCAGCACGCUGCGUUGAAUACGUUCCCGGGUCUUGUACACACCGCCCGUCACACCAUGGAAGUCGACCACGCCCGAAGUACGUGAGCUAACCGUAAGGAAGCAGCGUCCUAAGGCAGGGUUGGUGACUGGGGUGAAGUCGUAACAAGGUAGCCGUACCGGAAGGUGCGGCUGGAUCACCUCCUUUCUAGGGAGA